UACGUAGGGACCAAGCGUUGUUCGGAUUUACUGGGCGUAAAGGGCGCGUAGGCGGCGUGACAAGUCACUUGUGAAAUCUCCGGGCUUAACUCGGAACGGCCAAGUGAAACUGUCAUGCUAGAGUGCAGAAGGGGCAAUCGGAAUUCUUGGUGUAGCGGUGAAAUGCGUAGAUAUCAAGAGGAACACCUGAGGUGAAGACGGGUUGCUGGGCUGACACUGACGCUGAGGCGCGAAAGCCAGGGGGGCAAACGGG
rnacentral:rRNA from 1 species